CACACACACACACACACACAGAUUAGAUUAGAUUACAUCAGAAGAUUAGAUUAGAAGAGACAUGCACAUACACGCACACACAUUAACGUGAGCGAUAGAAAGAGAAAAAAAAGGCAGCUGAAGAAGAGAGUGAGAUACUUUUAAAUAAGAUGCAAAUGAGCUGACACAAACAGAUGAGAAUAAAAUGGUGAAAUCUGGAGGGAGGACGGUCAAAGAGGAGAGGAGGGAAAGAGUGGGGAAGGAGGGGGCACGGAGCGAGGGAAAGAGAGAGGGAAGGGAGGAAACUGAGAAGAUAAGAGUGAGAGAAGAUUUAAAACGAGAGUCAGCAAGCCAUAGGACACACAGCACACAGCCUUGGCGAUAACAAAUCUUUCAAACUGUCAUUUCUCAGAGCUCUGUGUUUUCUGCUAACGCCCCCUCUUGCCAGCCUCACACAGACAAUCGCGCACACACACACAAUGCCCCCUAUCCUCACACAGAGAGACCCGAGGCACGCAUGCAAGGCAGGCAGCUUAUUUCUUCGGAGGCUAUCUAUCCCCUCAACUUAGCUUAUCGUCCAGUAACUAAGUUCAAUCGACGACGGCAGUAUGUAUAGUCCUCGUGAGGGGCGUCGUGAUAGACCGCCUCCCAAACGGCACCCUAUUCCCUACAUAUGGCACUACUUUUGACCAGAGGCCUUUGUAAUGUGGUGCACUAUAUAGGGAAUAGGGUGCCAUUUGGUACAGAUCCUUAGACACAGUGGCAGCAGCAGGACUGCAUAAAGAGAAGGAGCUGUUGAAGCUUUUGCCUGUGAGGAGGAGGAGGAGAAGGAGGAGGAGGAAGAGGAAGAGGAAGAAGAGGCUUGAAAGCAUCUGCCCUGCACUCUGAUUCCAUAUAGUCACUGGGCUACUGUCUGGGAGGAGUUUCAUCAUAUAGAUUCAUGACCCUUCACUUUAACUAGCCCACAGCUGUUGGUGGGAAAGAAAGUCAAGCAGGUUUGCAUUGGCUGAAGUUGCAAAGUUUACAAGUUUAUAGAAAUUUUUUAAAUCAUGACGUGUG
rnacentral:lncRNA from 1 species